CUGGGCUACCACAUGCAAGGCGAGCGGCAGCACAUGGGAGUUUACUCGUGUGGUGGCGAGGGGGGGACGGGUGAGUAUUGCGUAGGGUUCUGCCCAGUCGAGGGGGAUAACAGUUGGAUACGACUGCUAAUACCGCAUACGCCCUACGGGGGAAAGAGGGUGACCUUCGGGCCUCUCGCGAUAGGAUGAACCUAGGUGGGAUUAGCUAGUUGGUGAGGUAAUGUCUCAC
rnacentral:rRNA from 1 species